UCAAAUCGUCCGCGCCUCCGAAGAAAACCCUAUCUCAAAUCUUCCCUUCUUCUUCUUCCACUUACAGAUCGGCCAUGUCUUCGUCUGAAAUCAGUAGCCGCUUCGUUUUGUUUGAAUAACCCUAAAUCAAGGAUCUAAAAUUUGUAAACAUGAAGGAGCUGCAAACCCUUGAACAUUUUUUUUCCUUAGGGGUUGCACAAACUCCAGUUUCGCAGCCAUGGUUUGAGGAGGAUAUUUGGACCGAGAUAGCAAAACAUGUAGACAAAAAUGUAUAUUGAUGCUUAGAUCCUCUCGUCGUUGGUUUCGUCGUGUAAUUUUGGAAGAAGAUAGUGUAUGGAAAUGCGCUUGUUUAUGUGAUCUUUAAGUUCCUCCGUUUCGCCAACAAUUCUUCUCUAAAUGGAUCUAAUUCUACAUUUGGUAAAUUUGACUCAAUCCCUUAUGUGUAUCCUUGGGGUGGAAAUUGGAAGUGCUGACGGCCAUGAUGAUGGAGGAUAAAGAUAAGGAUCUACAGAUAGAUUUCCUUUGGGUGAUCUUCAGCCAGCACGCCAAGAAGAGCAAAUCCAUUAACAGAUCCCAUGCCACCCAGUAGCAGAGAUGCUUCACUUCAGAGCGUUGGUGAAGUUUCUGAAAAUCCUAAUCAAUGAGCAGAUCUUCAUAUAAAAUGCUUCACGCCAAGAAGAGCAAAUAUAUGGAACUCUAGUCAAGUGUAUUCCAGUGAAACAUAUGGUUGCAGGAAAUUAAGCAUACACAGCUGAUAAGGGUUGUUGGUCUGGUUCAUUUACACAUUCAGAGAGUGGCGGUGCAGGGUCUCAAUCAGGGGAAGAUUCUGGUUUGCUGUGUUACUGCUCUCUGAUAUCGAAAAAAGCAAUCCUUAUACACAAGUGUUGCAACUACAGUCAUGUAAGCAAGCACGAAUACAACGAAUAAUGCAGCAAGGAAUGACCAUAUGGACGAGACUCUACUGCAAAAGCAUAUUGAACUUGUGACUAAUAUUGCUAGGAUAAAGCGGUAUGGGGACAGGUUUUUUGUAGACGAGAAAAACAUGAGUCCAAGCCAAAGUUGGUGGUGAACCUGUAGAUGAGACUGUAUUGUCCGAGUGUAUUAUCCAGUGUCAUGCUUGUAUUUGUGGAAUGUUCCAGAGUACUAUGAUAUUAUCUGGAAUAAGAUAUUGGUUGUGCUGCAAGUUACGAGAAGUAGCAACAAAACCAGCAUCCUGCCAACAACAAUUCAAUCCCAGAUGUUGCGAGUCCUAAUCAAAGCACAGAUCCAAGUCUUGUAGGGGUCACACAUACUGUUUUUAUUUCGACGAUCAGACUGUAUUUGUGAUGUUCGGCGUAGCUUCUUUGAUGUAAAAUCUGUACUCUUUUUUGAUGGAAA